CACGCCACCGAAGCGAGCAGCGAGGCUGGCUGAGCACAUGAAGUACGCCUGUUCCGCGACCCGUCUGUCUCACCCUCGCUUCCUCCUUAUUUAUAAUUUUUUUAUGUGGUCUGGUUUUUUAGCUCCCGGCGUAUUACGCUUCGUCUGGAUUUCGACACGGCAGCACUGCGCUAUUGGACUACAGCACGCUGAUGACGUUCGGUGGAGCUACGUACCGAAACAGCUGCUUUCCUGGUGCCACAGCGCGGGAUGAACGCACCGGCUUCGAACAUAGGCGGAACGUCAUGUAUUGGAACAAGUCAUGGCCGCCUGCUUCUGGUAGCUGGUGACUCGUACAGGACCGAACAAAUGUGAUUCCCUCGCGCUUUGAGGCGGGUUACUAGGCACUGGGGCCAGCAGCUUUAAUGUUUGCCGAGUGAUCUCGUGGUGUUGCUCCCGCAUUUACGACGCGUCAGAAGAGCUGUGCAAACAUGCAGCUGAAAGAGGGCAAAUGGCCAGCUUUUAGUUGUAUCUUCCCCAAAAUUGUGACACAGGACAGAAGGUUCAAAUUAUGUUUUUGUGCUUUUUGUACGGGGCCUGACUACU